GACAGAGGGUGCAAGCGUUAAUCAGAAUGAUUGGGCGUAAAGGGCGUGUAGGUGGUAAGCAAGGUUUGGUGUGAAAGCUCUCGGCUCAACCGGGAAAGUGCAUCAAAUACCGGCUUACUAGAGUGAGAGAGAGGACUGUGGAAUUUCCGGUGUAGCGGUGAAAUGUGUAGAUAUCGGAAGGAACACCAGUGGCGAAGGCGACAGUCUGGCUCUAGUACUGACACUGAGGCGCGAAGGCGUGGGGAGCAAACAGG
rnacentral:rRNA from 1 species